UGGGGAAUAUUGGACAAUGGGCGCAAGCCUGAUCCAGCAAUGCCGCGUGAGUGAUGAAGGCCUUAGGGUUGUAAAGCUCUUUCGCACGCGACGAUGAUGACGGUAGCGUGAGAAGAAGCCCCGGCUAACUUCGUGCCAGCAGCCGCGGUAAUACGAAGGGGGCUAGCGUUGUUCGGAAUUACUGGGCGUAAAGGGCGCGUAGGCGGCCUGUUUAGUCAGAAGUGAAAGCCCCGGGCUCAACCUGGGAAUAGCUUUUGAUACUGGCAGGCUUGAGUUCCGGAGAGGAUGGUGGAAUUCCCAGUGUAGAGGUGAAAUUCGUAGAUAUUGGGAAGAACACCGGUGGCGAAGGCGGCCAUCUGGACGGACACUGACGCUGAGGCGCGAAAGCGUGGGGAGCAAACAGGAUUAGAUACCCUGGUAGUCCACGCCGUAAAACGAUGAAUGCUAGACGUCGGGGUGCAUGCACUUCAGUGUCGCCGCUAACGCAUUAAGCAUUCCGCCU
rnacentral:rRNA from 1 species